rnacentral:lncRNA from 10 species
AAAAGCAAAACAGAAGUUGCCAUCUCAUCCUUUGCUCUAGUUGCCUCAUUUUACCUUCUGAAAUGAUGGAGGAAGUUCUGCUGAGGAUGGGGUCAGGGUAACAGCAGACUUCUGAAUAACUCUGCACCCCCAGAAACCUGCAAAGGACACAGGCCCUCUUGGUGGUCUCCUCCUGGAUGCCUUGCUUUCUCCUGGAAGAGUCCUCCCUUCCACCCCGGAUAUCACUGUGAACCUGAUUCCCCAGGAUCAACCAUCUGAGCAGAUACCUUGGAAUGUCCCCAGAUUUCAGAGAAUUCCAAAGAAGAUAGAAAUGGAGUUAGGAAGGAGAUUUUUGCCCUCCUGGCUCUUGUCUUCCUUCUCCACUUCAAGUGAAAGGACAGGGCCGGGAGUCAUGCCUCCCCAGGCGUGAGGCGUGUGUGGGCUGUAUCCCAGAGGAGAUUUUCUUUGCCAAUUGUGGAAUGAAGACUGUAUCAAAGUUCAGAGGAUCCGCCAACACAGAAGAGAGAAACACCAGAUGCUUGGGGCCUCUAAGCAGAAGGAGCAACCCACCAAUCCCAAGAUAC